rnacentral:miRNA from 1 species
CAACGGACUCACUCCCUUCUG